rnacentral:rRNA from 1 species
UCCUCCCUCUUUCUUCGUGCUUCCCCCCUGCACGUCGACCGGAAAGGCCCUGCUUUUGUGGGGUGCUCGAGUGGCGAACGGGUGAGUAACACGUGAGUAACCUGCCCUUGACUUUAGGAUAACUUCAGGAAACUGGGGCUAAUACCGGAUAGGAGCUCCUGCUGCUUGGUGGGGGUUGGAAAGUUUAGGCGGUUGGGGAUGGACUCGCGGCUUAUCAGCUUGUUGGUGGGGUAGUGGCUUACCAAGGCUUUGAAGGGUAGCCGGCCUGAGAGGGUGACCGGCCACAUUGGGACUGAGAUACGGCCCAGACUCCUCCGGGAGGCAGCAGUGGGGAAUAUUGCACAAUGGGCGGAAGCCUGAUGCAGCAACGCCGCGUGCGGUAUGACGGCCGUCGGGUUGUAAACCGCUUUCGCCUGUGACGAAGCGUGAGUGACGGUAAUGGGUAAAGAAGCACCGGCUAACUACGUG